AGCAGUAGCCGCGGUAAUACGAAGGGUGCAAGCGUUACUCGGAAUUACUGGGCGUAAAUCGUGCGUAGGCGGUUGUUUAAGUCUGCUGUGAAAGCCCUGGGCUCAACCUGGGAAUUGCAGUGGAUACUGGGCAACUAGAGUAAGGUAGAGGAUAGUGGAAUUUCCGGUGUAGCAGUGAAAUGCGUAGAGAUCGGAAGGAACAUCUGUGGCGAAGGCGACUAUCUGGGCCAUUACUGACACUGAGGCACGAAAGCGUGGGGAGCAAACAGGAUUAGAUACCCCUGUAGUCCCUGUCUCUUAUAU
rnacentral:rRNA from 1 species